CAGGAGGCUGGUCUGGACUGCUACGAGAGAUCAGCAAAGGGCCCUGGGGCCUGGCCUGCUGGUGCCAGUGCCUGACUGACUUGCCUACUGAGCAAUAUGAAUACAAAGAUGGAGCCUAACAUUCCCAGCAGGGACCUAUAUGCCUGUUCGAUGGAUGCAGUGGCUCAAUCGUGGUCAGAACAGAAUGAAGAGGAAAAGAAAUAAAAGGCAGGCCACGGUGGAAGGGCAGUAAACGACCAAAAUGCC